AGUGAACGCUGGCGGUAGGCCUAACACAUGCAAGUCGAACGGCAGCACAGUAAGAGCUUGCUCUUACGGGUGGCGAGUGGCGGACGGGUGAGGAAUACAUCGGAAUCUACUUUUUCGUGGGGGAUAACGUAGGGAAACUUACGCUAAUACCGCAUACGACCUACGGGUGAAAGCAGGGGAUCUUCGGACCUUGCGCGAUUGAAUGAGCCGAUGUCGGAUUAGCUAGUUGGCGGGGUAAAGGCCCACCAAGGCGGCGAUCCGUAGCUGGUCUGAGAGGAUGAUCAGCCACACUGGAACUGAGACACUGUCCAGACUCCUACGGGAGGCAGCAGUGGGGAAUAUUGGACAAUGGGCGCAAGCCUGAUCCAGCCAUACCGCGUGGGUGAAGAAGGCCUUCGGGUUGUAAAGCCCUUUUGUUGGGAAAGAAAAGCAGCAGGUUAAUACCCCGCUGUUCUGACGGUACCCAAAGAAUAAGCACCGGCUAACUUCGUG
rnacentral:rRNA from 1 species